UCUUAAGAUUACGAAGCUUGGAAGCCAAACUAAAGCAGUUUUUUAAGAGGGUGUGGGUAUGGGUAUUGAUGGAACUGUUAAAAAGUUGAGAUCAGACUUUUUAUUACUGAGGUCGCUCACAAGUUUUACCCUACCCAUAGGAAGGAUUCAGGAGACAUGGGAUUUUAAGGAGAUCCCUGAUUCACUUUAUAUUCAACUAACAGAGUGGCCACGGCAUGACGCACAAAGAUAACCCUUGAGUGAGGUCUUAGCUGCAGAAGUGCCUCCAGGAUCCCUGGGUUCAGAAGAGGGAAAAGGAAGCAGCUUCAAAGGUUAUGCUCAAGACACAGAGACACAGAAGAGAGGCCCAGAGGAGUUACUGUGUCAAUCUGGGGCCAUCACUUCACACACAAAACAAGCUGUGACUCAAGGCUAUAAUCUCUUGAAGGCAAAGACCACUUUUGGACCCUAACAGUGGAUUACAGAGAUCCCACAAGAUGGGGAUGGGGGACAGAGCUGCAGUAUGGCUCCCAACGUAGGUUUGUUCACAUGGUAUAAGACUGUGAGUCAUUUAAGGUUUCUGAGUUUCAGUUUCCUUAUCCACAAAAAGAGAUCGUAUCUACCCCACAAGACGGGUGUGAAGAUUAAAUAAAAUAAUCUUUGUGAAAUAAAA